AUGACAGUGAGUAAUCUUAGAAACAUUAUUUCGAGUUCGAUAUAAAACGCGGACUAACGAAUACAAGUAGCUAUGGAUCGAUAGUGAACGUAUGUGUUACUCAUUUCACACGAGACAAUGUGGAGAGUUGUGCUUGCGUCUUCGGUGUUUUUAUAUUAUCGUGUGCGAUAGAACUUAUUAUAACUACUCUAAGUUGUAUUAUUAUAUCCCAUUAUCAGUAAUUUAUGAUAAUUAAUUAAUAGAAUUAAACAUAAACAGAAGAUUGCUUUGGAUUAAUGAGCUGUGUUGCGUGGUGAUUGAAACGGUUCGGUCUGCAUCAAGUUUCGGUGAAGCCAGUGGAGUUAGCAAUGAGGUCUUCUGCUUAUUAACGUCAUCCGGCAAGUGUAAUUUGUUAUGAAAGUAGUCAUAUAAUAAGCAAUACGUUUUGUAGAGAUGAUUCCUACGGUAUGUUUAGUACAUAACUGCGAAUUUGCUAUCAUGGCAACCAGGUUCCUUCUAUUAAGGGCGGUCAAACAGAUUUGGGACUUCGUCGCCUCCUACGACUCGCAGGGCUAAGGUGGAUGUAUUCGACCCCGCCUCCACACGGGACCUGAAUUGAUCUCGGUGUCUGACUUCUGCCUGUUUACAUACCCUUCAGCCGAUCGAAUAUGCGACACCGUUCCCAACAGUUAGUCUUAUAGCUUCCCUCCGUUUAUGUGCUUUUAACGAUUUUUGCCGUGGAUAUCGGCAUUCAACAGUCAAAGUUAUGCAGCGUGCAGUGAAUCAUAGUACUUGAACCGUUGCAUAGCAGUUGGCGCCAAUUCUUGAACGCUUGGGAACGUGUUUACUUAUAUGUCACAUUAUUGAUGGCGGGAGGUAAACCUCUGCAAUAAGUGCUUUUAUUGUGAAGUUGCAGUGUCUUUCGCCGCAAUACAAAAUGUUUAACUACGUACGUUUAACAACAAGUUUCUUCUUCUGUGAUCGUGUGGGUGUUUUUUUGGUGUAUGUGAACAAAUUUCCGAGUGACCAUACCCAGCGGCCCUUGUCGGCGGUCCGGCAGCGUUCAUCCGAGGCGGCAGCAGGCACGACGCGCAAAACCGUCUGGAUUAAGAAUUCUGGAGAUCCCCGCAGCAAUGGU